UGGAAGUAAAAAGUCGUAACAAGGUCUCCGUUGGUGAACCAGCGGAGGGAUCAUUACAGAGUUGCAAAACUCCCUAAACCAUCGUGAACGUUACCCAAACCGUUGCUUCGGCGGGCGGCGCCCUCGCGCGCCCCUGGGCCCCACCGCGGGCGCCCGCCGGAGGUUACCCAAACUCUUGAUACAUUAUGGCCACUCUGAGUCUUCUGUACUGAAUAAGUCAAAACUUUCAACAACGGAUCUCUUGGUUCUGGCAUCGAUGAAGAACGCAGCGAAAUGCGAUAAGUAAUGUGAAUUGCAGAAUUCAGUGAAUCAUCGAAUCUUUGAACGCACAUUGCGCCCGCCAGUAUCCUGGCGGGCAUGCCUGUUCGAGCGUCAUUUCAACCAUCAAGCCCCCGGCUUGUGUUGGGGACCUGCGGCUGUCCGCAGGCCCUGAAAACCAGUGGCGGGCUCGCUAGUCACACCGAGCGUAGUAGCAUACAUCUCGCUCAGGGCGUGCUGCGGGUUCCGGCCGUUAAACGACCUUCAUAACCCAAGGUUGACCUCGGAUCAGGUAGGAAGACCCGCUGAACUUAAGCAUAUCAAUAAAGCGGAGG
rnacentral:misc_RNA from 1 species